AGCCCAUGGAUCCACUUGAGUUUGAUUCGAUUAGCUCAGCUCAUGGGUCAAGCUCAUUGGGGCUCAACCCUUGCUUUCAGGUCCAUUGACCUACGACUAUUGGGCCUUACUACUCUAAUAACAAUGUUUAGAAUUACGGACCUAGGAAUGUGAAUAUUAAAUCGGUAGGCUGCACAAACUGGACUCUCCAUCACCAAAAUGGCUAGUUUGGUUUGCCAAUUUUUUAUGUCUUUAAUUUUCUUGUACAUCGCUGAUUUGGGAAUUGUUCCCACAAGUGAUAUUCCAAUAGAGCUAAACUACCAUUAUCAACUUAAAUUUGGGAAUGGAAGUUGAUAAAUAUAGCAUAGCAUUCUUUAUGAUGCAUAGAGAAAUUGGUUGAUUAAUGUUGCUUCAAAGCUUAUUGCUAGAUAGUUUGUUUAGAGAGUUUAAAUACGUGCACAAAAACACAUAAAAGAAAUUAAGAAUAAAGAUCAUUUUUGCCUACCCAAACUUGUAAAUGGUGUCCAAAUACACCCAAAUUGAAAUUUAUGGUAAAUUUAGGAUGAUGCUUUCAAUUUAGGAUCAAUUUGCUCCAAUUGUUUUUGCCAAAAAUAUUAAAAUAAUAAUUUUAAAUAGUAAAAAAAUUAAUUUCAUUUCUUUCAAAUUAUUAAAAAUUUUCACCAUUUCAACUCAACUCAACUCAACU
rnacentral:misc_RNA from 1 species